UCGAGCGAGCGGAACCACAGAUUUACUUCGGUAAUGACGUUGGGAAAGCGAGCGGCGGAUGGGUGAGUAACACGUGGGGAACCUGCCCCUAAGUCUGGGAUACCAUUUGGAAACAGGUGCUAAUACCGGAUAAUAAAGCGGAUCGCAUGAUCAGCUUUUGAAAGGCGGCGUAAGCUGUCGCUAAGGGAUGGCCCCGCGGUGCAUUAGCUAGUUGGUAAGGUAACGGCUUACCAAGGCGACGAUGCAUAGCCGAGUUGAGAGACUGAUCGGCCACAUUGGGACUGAGACACGGCCCAAACUCCUACGGGAGGCAGCAGUAGGGAAUCUUCCACAAUGGACGCAAGUCUGAUGGAGCAACGCCGCGUGAGUGAAGAAGGUUUUCGGAUCGUAAAGCUCUGUUGUUGGUGAAGAAGGAUAGAGGUAGUAACUGGCCUUUAUUUGACGGUAAUCAACCAGAAAGUCACGGCUAACUACGUGCCAGCAGCCGCGGUAAUACGUAGGUGGCAAGCGUUGUCCGGAUUUAUUGGGCGUAAAGCGAGCGCAGGCGGAAAAAUAAGUCUAAUGUGAAAGCCCUCGGCUUAACCGAGGAACUGCAUCGGAAACUGUUUUUCUUGAGUGCAGAAGAGGAGAGUGGAACUCCAUGUGUAGCGGUGGAAUGCGUAGAUAUAUGGAAGAACACCAGUGGCGAAGGCGGCUCUCUGGUCUGCAACUGACGCUGAGGCUCGAAAGCAUGGGUAGCGAACAGGAUUAGAUACCCUGGUAGUCCAUGCCGUANACGAUGAGUGCUAAGUGUUGGG
rnacentral:rRNA from 1 species